rnacentral:piRNA from 1 species
UGGGUUCACUCCCAGGAUCCUCUGCCCUCCC